rnacentral:rRNA from 1 species
UACAGAGGUGGCGAGCGUUGUUCGGAUUUACUGGGCGUAAAGGGUGCGUAGGCGGCCGCGUGUGUUGGAUGUGAAAUCCCAUGGCUCAACCAUGGAAAGGCAUCCAAAACUGCGUGGCUAGAGUUCAGAAGAGGAGAGUGGAAUUCUUGGUGUAGCGGUGAAAUGCGCAGAUAUCAAGAGGAACACCGGUGGCGAAGGCGGCUCUCUGGAAUGAAACUGACGCUGAGGCACGAAAGCCGGGGGAGCAAAAAGG